rnacentral:rRNA from 1 species
UGCGUAGGUGGUCGUUUAAGUCUGUUGUGAAAGCCCUGGGCUCAACCGUGGAGGGUCAUUGGAAACUGGAAAACUUGAGUGCAGAAGAGGAAAGUGGAAUUCCAUGUGUAGCGGUGAAAUGCGCAGAGAUAUGGAGGAACACCAGUGGCGAAGGCGACUUUCUGGUCUGUAACUGACGCUGAUGUGCGAAAGCGUGGGGAGCAAACA